rnacentral:rRNA from 1 species
GUACGGGAGGCAGCAGUGGGGAAUCUUGCGCAAUGGCCGAAAGGCUGACGCAGCGACGCCGCGUGUGGGAGGACGCCCUUCGGGGUGUAAACCACUGUUGCCCGGGACGAACAUCUGGUUUCGACCAGACUGACGGUACCGGGUGAGGAAGCACCGGCUAACUCCGUGCCAGCAGCCGCGGUAAUACGGAGGGUGCGAGCGUUGUCCGGAAUCACUGGGCGUAAAGGGCGCGUAGGCGGCGCGGAUAGUCGGCGGUGAAAGCCCGGAGCUCAACUCCGGGUCGGCCGUCGAUACUUCCGGGCUUGAGCACUGUAGAGGCAGAUGGAAUUCCGGGUGUAGCGGUGGAAUGCGUAGAGAUCCGGAAGAACACCGGUGGCGAAGGCGGUCUGCUGGGCAGUUGCUGACGCUGAUGCGCGACAGCGUGGGGAGCAAACAGGAUUAGAUACCCCGGUAGG